UAAUACGUAGGGGGCCAGCGUUGCUCGGAAUAACUGGGCGUAAAGGGUUCGUAGGCGGUGCGGCAAGUUGGGAGUGAAAUCUCUGGGCUUAACCCAGAGACUGCUUUCAAAACUGCCGUGCUAGAGUGCGGGAGAGGCCAGUGGAAUUGCAGGUGUAGCGGUGAAAUGCGUAGAUAUCUGCAGGAACACCCGUGGCGAAGGCGGCUGGCUGGACCGCAACUGACGCUGAGGAACGAAAGCUAGGGGAGCAAACAGGAUUAGAUACCCUGGUAGUCCUAGCCCUAAACGAUCAGAACUUGGGGUGCAUCCCGUUGGGGGUGCGUCUCGUAGCUAACGCGUUAAGUUCUGCGCCUGGGGAGUACGGUCGCAAGACUG
rnacentral:rRNA from 1 species